UGUUGUGGCCACACCACCUUUGCUCUGCUCGAUCCCAUCAGAUCCCGGAAACUAAGCAGGGUAGGGCCUGGUUGGUACUUGGAUGGGAGACCGCCGGGGAAUACCAGGAAGCCUGGGUGC
rnacentral:rRNA from 1 species